GACGAACGCUGGCGGCGUGCUUAACACAUGCAAGUCGAACGGAAAGGCCCUGCUUGCUGGGUACUCGAGUGGCGAACGGGUGAGUAACACGUGGGUGAUCUGCCCUGCACUUCGGGAUAAGCCUGGGAACCUGGGUCUAAUACCGGAUAGGAGCCAUUUUUAGUGUGAUGGUUGGUAAGUUUUUUCGGUGUAGGAUGAGCUCGCGGCCUAUCAGCUUGUUGGUGGGGUAAUGGCCUACCAAGGCGGCGACGGGUAGCCGGCCUGAGAGGGUGGACGGCCACAUUGGGACUGAGAUACGGCCCAGACUCCUACGGGAGGCAGCAGUGGGGAAGAUUGCACAAUGGGCGCAAGCCUGAUGCAGCGACGCCGCGUGGGGGAUGACGGCCUUCGGGUUGUAAACGCCUUGCGCUAGGGACGAAGCUUGUUGUGACGGUACCUAGAUAAGAAGCACCGGCUAACUACGUG
rnacentral:rRNA from 1 species